rnacentral:rRNA from 1 species
GAUGAACGCUGGCGGCGUGCCUAAUACAUGCAAGUCGAGCGAACAGAUGAGGAGCUUGCUCCUCUGACGUUAGCGGCGGACGGGUGAGUAACACGUGGAUAACCUACCUAUAAGACUGGGAUAACUUCGGGAAACCGGAGCUAAUACCGGAUAAUAUAUUGAACCGCAUGGUUCAAUAGUGAAAGACGGUUUUGCUGUCACUUAUAGAUGGAUCCGCGCCGCAUUAGCUAGUUGGUAAGGUAACGGCUUACCAAGGCAACGAUGCGUAGCCGACCUGAGAGGGUGAUCGGCCACACGGGAACUGAGACAGGGACCAGCCUCCUAGGGGGGGCAGCAGUGGGGAAUCUUCCGCAAUGGGCGAAAGCCGGAGGGAACAACGCCGCGGGGGUGAGGAGGGUCUUCGGAUCGUAAAACUCUGUUAUGAGGGAAAAAAAAAUGUGUAAGUAACUAUGCACGUCUGGACGGUACCUAAUAAGAAAGCCACGGCUAACUACGUG